UACGUAGGACGCAAGCGUUGUCCGGAAUCAUUGGGCGUAAAGAGCUCGUAGGUGGUCUGUUACGUCUGCUGUGAAAUCCUAGGGCUUAACCCUGGGCCUGCAGUGGAUACGGGCAGACUAGAGGUAGGUAGGGGGAGAAUGGAAUUCCCGGUGUAGCGGUGAAAUGCGCAGAUAUCGGGAGGAACACCGGUGGCGAAGGCGGUUCUCUGGACAGUUCCUGACACUGAGGCACGAAGGCCAGGGGAGCAAACGGG
rnacentral:rRNA from 1 species